GGAUCGUUAGCUCAGGGGUAGAGCACCACAUUCACACUGUGGGGGUCAGUGGUUCGAUCCCACUACGAUCCA
rnacentral:tRNA from 1 species